GACGGAGGGUGCGAGCGUUAUUCGGAAUGAUUGGGCGUAAAGGGUCCGAAGGUGGCCGUUCAAGUCUGCUGUGAAAGACCGGGGCUUAACUUCGGAAAGGCAGUGGAAACUGAACAGCUAGAGUAUGGUAGGGGCAGAGGGAAUUCCUGGUGUAGCGGUGAAAUGCGUAGAGAUCAGGAAGAACAUCGGUGGCGAAGGCGCUCUGAUGGACCAUAACUGACACUCAGGGACGAAAGCUAGGGGAGCGAAUGGG
rnacentral:rRNA from 1 species